GCGAGCGGCGGAUGGGUGAGUAACACGUGGGGAACCUGCCCCAUAGUCUGGGAUACCACUUGGAAACAGGUGCUAAUACCGGAUAAGAAAGCAGAUCGCAUGAUCAGCUUUUAAAAGGCGGCGUAAGCUGUCGCUAUGGGAUGGCCCCGCGGUGCAUUAGCUAGUUGGUAAGGUAAAGGCUUACCAAGGCGAUGAUGCAUAGCCGAGUUGAGAGACUGAUCGGCCACAUUGGGACUGAGACACGGCCCAAACUCCUACGGGAGGCAGCAGUAGGGAAUCUUCCACAAUGGACGCAAGUCUGAUGGAGCAACGCCGCGUGAGUGAAGAAGGUUUUCGGAUCGUAAAGCUCUGUUGUUGGUGAAGAAGGAUAGAGGUAGUAACUGGCCUUUAUUUGACGGUAAUCAACCAGAAAGUCACGGCUAACUACGUGCCAGCAGCCGCGGUAAUACGUAGGUGGCAAGCGUUGUCCGGAUUUAUUGGGCGUAAAGCGAGCGCAGGCGGAAGAAUAAGUCUGAUGUGAAAGCCCUCGGCUUAACCGAGGAACUGCAUCGGAAACUGUUUUUCUUGAGUGCAGAAGAGGAGAGUGGAACUCCAUGUGUAGCGGUGGAAUGCGUAGAUAUAUGGAAGAACACCAGUGGCGAAGGCGGCUCUCUGGUCUGCAACUGACGCUGAGGCUCGAAAGCAUGGGUAGCGAACAGGAUUAGAUACCCUGGUAGUCCAUGCCGUAAACGAUGAGUGCUAAGUG
rnacentral:rRNA from 1 species